UUAGUAAUCAAAUUAAUACAAUCAUAGGCAUCAGGACUGUCCGUUCUUGGUCAGCAAGUGCUGGGGACAAAGAAGAAUUAACACAAACUUUUACUGUUCUCGAAACAUCUACUAACUUCUAGUAUCAGUACAAAUUCCUUGCACACUACUUUUAUAGCAAUAACCACUACAGAUUGAGAACCAAGCAUGUCCAUACGCCAGGCAAAAAAUAUAUCAGCAUAUACUAGGUUGCUAGAUUAAGCAGUGUUGAUAUUUGGUUUUGAGAAGAAUAAGAACUGGAUAAUGCUGGAAUAUAUUUUUUUUACCUCUUUGGCUUGUGAAACAAAUAGUUAGAUACUACUAGAUACACAAGACAUUAAAAUAGAGAUCUGUAUAACGUAGUCUCGUGAAACUUAGAAAAGUAAGACGAAUCUAGGAUUAAUAUGAUAACUCCAAGACAUACUCGAAUAAAAAAAACAGACCCAACACGAAAGAAACUUUAUCAAAAGAGCUAAAUCGAUUUGAUUCUGUUUCAACAAAGAUGCCUCUACAUUUUCAACUUAAGAACUUAAAUUACAUACCUGAUUUAGCCAAAAUACACCAAAAAGAAUAAAUCUCUGAAAUUGCAAGGAGAUGAAAGCAAAAGAACGACACAACAACAGUAGCAGUGUUUAGGAAAAUUGAUGCCAAAAUUCCUGCUUCCUUUUGAUUUUUGUUUGAAAUAUUUUUUCCGAAUUUUUCUUCAAAUUUCGAUUUCCUAGUGUGUUUAUCAGAGAAAUGAGGAAAUGUGGAGUCAGAUGUGAGAAUUGGGUGUUUCUCUAUAUGUGUUUUGAGAAAAUGAUUAAGCAAACAGAAGAAAGGGAGCUGGGGUUGCGCCGUUUGCUCUGGUUUUUGCAAAGGUCCGAGUCCGAUUUUCUCUUUUGGAAGGAAAGGGUUCUCUUCUGAUUGUUCUUAGGUUGAAGAUGCAGACCGUGGGGGAUGCGCCGUUUUGGUGAAGGAAAAUUAGGAAUCUGAUCCCUUCUCUAGGUUUCCUAAUGUGUAUAUAUAUUAGAGUGUAGGAGGUAGGGUUUUAAUAAAGGGGAAUGAGUAUUUGGGUAGUGGGCUGAGAUUGCAUGGGCUUGGGUAAUUUGGAAUUUUUGGGCUUCAAAUUAAACUGGGCCAGAUGAAAUUGAAAGACCAAAUCUACUUUUUUUUUCUUUGUUUUUCUUUUGAUUUCAAAAACUAAUUGAAUUAACUAAACAAGCUAAAUAAAAUCCUAAAUUAGGCUCUACCUUAAAUUAUUUUGUAAAGUUAAUUUUACUUAUUUUUACUAAUUUAAAACUAAUUAAUUUAAAACUAAAAGCUAAAAUGUGGACAUGACUAUUGUAGUAAUAUUUGUGAUUUUUUGUUUAAUGAAUGCAAUUAAACUAUGAAACUAAAUCUAAGAUGGCAUGAAAUUAAAAUGUGACAAUUGUUUUAAUGAUUUUCUUAUGAUUUAAAAAUAUUAAAAAUGCAUGAAAUGCAACUAAAUAAAGAAAAACUUCUAAAAUCCCUAAAAAAUUAUUUUUGGUCUAUUUUUAGGAGUUAUUUCCAUGAGGGGCAAAAAUUAGGUGCUCACAGCUGCCCCUCUUUGCUCGAAAACAUGAAGAGUUUUUAGGCAAAAAAUAAAGUGAGAAACUACGAGCAAUUUUUGCCCGUUUGAAACUCCAUUUGGCAGCAUUUUGAAAGAGUUUGACUGAACCUUACUUCAGAGGUUGCCUACGUAUCCUUGGCUAUAAAGGAAUCAAGUCGGUAUAGUUCUGGAAAUUUUGGUAGCUAGGACUACCGAAAAACUGUGAUUUCACUGUUGUUGCUUGUUGUUUAUGCUUGCUGAGCUCCUUAUUAUACCAUAAUGAAAAAUGAAAAGUUAAACUAGUUAAGACUAUCAGCUACGAGUUACAAGAUUUCUAUCUAUAAACCUUCUAAAGCUUGAUCUUGAGUCUUGGCUGGUUCUUCCUACAGACUCUGAUCUGAAUCUUGAUGCUCGUUAACUGCAACCGUUGGUUCAUUCUUCUUCAGCUUUUCGGAUCAAGGAGGGACAUGCAAAGCUUGUGAUUCAAUCAUAUCUUGAGCAGUCCACAUCUUUCUUCCGCUUCUACACUUAGAGCUCACUUUUUUUCUUGUUUUUUCUUUUCUUUUAUUUGAAUCGAGACUUCUUCUUUUGGCCGCCUUGAAACUUGUGCCUCAAGGUAAAAACCUGAUCAGGUACUAAAACAAAUAAACGAACGAAAUUUUCUGCCCUAGUUUUCACUAGAAAAAUUUCGUGAGUUAUUGUAACAAAAAUCUAAACUACUUCUUUAUUGAAAGCAAUAAAAUCAGGAUUGUGUAUCCUUGGUAGAAAAGAAAUUAGGGAGUGGAGCCCUAUAUCUAAAAUGAAAUCAAAUGGGGAUCGGAGAUCCUAAGUUGGAAAGGUUACCAGGUUAUGCUGGCAUCAACUAAGGAAUGGGACACUAUGCCGGAAAAGAUUACUAGGUUAUGCUAGCAGAGCUAGGGAGUGAGACCCUAUAUUGGAAAAGAUUACCAGGUUAUGUUGGCAUCAGCUAGGGAAUGGGACCCUAUGUUGAAAAAAAUUACCAGGUUAUGUUAAUCAUCGAGUUAUUCCGGAAAGGUCCUCGAGUUAUGCCGAAAGAUCCUCGGGUUAUGCCGGGAAAGGUCAUCGGGUUAUGCCGGAAAAGGUCAUCGGGUUAUGCCGGAAAGGUCCUCGGAUUAUGCCAGGCAAUGUCAUCGAGUUAUGCCAGAAAGGUCCUCGGGUUAUGCCAAAAAGGUCCUCGGGUUAUGCCGGGGAAGGUCAUCGGGUUAUGCCGGAAAGGUCCUUGGGUUAUGCCGGGGAAGGUCAUCGGGUUAUGCCGGAAAGGUCCUCGGGUUAUGCCAGGGAAGUCAUUGGGUUAUGCCAGAAAGGUCCUCGGGUUAUGCCGGGGAAGUCAUCGGGUUAUGCCGGAAAGGUCCUCGGGUAAUGCCGGGGAAAUCAUCGGGUUAUGCCGGAAAGGUCCUCGGAUUAUGCCGGAGAAGUCAUCGGGUUAUGCCGGAAAGGUCCUCGGGUUAUGCUGGGGAAGUCAUCGGGUUAUGCCAGAAAGGUCCUCGGGUUAUGCCGGGAUCAACUAGGGGGUGAGACCCUAUGUUGGAAAGAUUAACAGGUUAUGCUGGCAUCGACUAGGGAAUGAGACCCUAUAUUGGAAAAGACGUAGCUAGAGACUGGAAACCCUAUGCUACCAUGAUUUUUAAUUUUUCUUCUUCUUCUUCUUCAUUUCAUUUCAUUUUUUUUUAAUUUCAGAGAAUGAGUAAAGGCGGGAAAGAAUUUUGGAGAAGACUUCCCUUUUGGAGUUGUUGCGAAGUUGUUUUUAGCCCUUGCGCCAUUUCUUUUUGGUUGCACCUGCUUCUUGCAAGGUUGCUUUGGAUUGCAUUUAUUUCCUAUUUUCUUUCAAACAAAGAACAGUUUGUUAGUUUGAAACGGUGGUUGAUUUUGUGGCCUUGAGCGUUUUAGUCACUUGAUCUCGGCCCGGCUUCGUUGAUGAAGAUUUCAACUGCAACUGCUUGUUCCCUGAGGACCGAUUUCAUUUCUGACCCUGGAGAACCUCUAGCUUUUCCAAACUUUGCCAUGACGGUUGGGCACGUGGAACUCAACCUUUCACUUUUACUACCCGAGAGGGAUAUAAGGGAAUUUUUUCAAUUAAAGUGACAUAAAUCGAAAUGAGAUUAUUUUAUUUAAUUUUUCAGAGUCACCACUUGGGAUAUUUAUUAUGGUGUCCCAAGUCACCAGUUUAUUUUAAAUCCCAAAUCGAGUGAAAUAUACUUUAUUUAAAAGUCUGCUAAACCAGAAAUCUACGUAAGGAAUUCUGUUAACCCAGGAGAAGGUGUUAGGUAUUCACGGAUUUUGUAAUUUUAGCACGACCGCUUUAACAUAUCUGGCUCAAUUAAAUUGUCUAAUUACUUAUUUUAGAACCUAUGUGCAUCUACCCCUUUUACCGCUUUUAUUUGCUUAAUUACUCUUAAUUAAGGAAUAAUCUAAAAAAAUGGGUCACACGUACGUGUACUCAUUUCGUUUGGCGCGUCAAAAAUCAUUUCACGCGUACGUGUCCACAAUUAAUCACGCUUUAUUAUUAUCAAGAAAGUUCGGUCGAAGUUGCGCAAACGCAUACCUCGAUUUUGUUAUUAGGAUCAUAAUUAUGUCACGCGAACGUGUACACAAUCACGAUGAUAGAUCAAGUCGCGCCUAAAGCAAGCUACAAAUGUUCAUAGUAUUUUCUACACUAGUUAGUAUUAAUGUGAGGGCCAUGGGUUAUGGAUUUUAUAUGUGUAUGGCACGCCCCAAUUUGUUUUAAAAGAUUUGUACUCAAUUAAAGCAAUCUACAGAUGUUCAUAGAAUCAAUUACUUUUCUAUAUUCAAGAUCCUGUGUUAAAGUUGAGAGCUACAGAACCAUGUAUUGGGUUGGAGGAGAUGCUGAUAACUCAACAUUCAUCAACCAUUAGCCUAAACUAGGAGUGACAAAUGGGCGGGUUGGGUCAAAUUUGGGCGGGUCAAAACGAGUUGUGUUGAUAUCUGGGUCAUGACCCAACCCACCCAAAAGUUUGCUUGGGACAAAAUGGGUUGGGUUAAGAUGGGUCAAAUAACGGGUCAUAACCCAACCCGCGCAACUAUUACUUAAAUAAAAUUGUAUUAUGUGUGCUGCAAGUUACAAUUAUUCAUCAUCUAUUUUUGUCAAAUAUUAGUUUUAGGAUCGUAUCUUGUCUUCUAACGUAAUUCAAAACUUGGUUGAAACCAUUUAAAAAAUUUAAUAGUUGGGUUAUGUUAUCUUUUAAUAACAAUCAAAAAGAUCUAAAUUUAGUAAAAAGGGCAGCAUUUAAUUUCGGCUUUAACUUUUUCCUGACAAAAAAUCUUCCUCUAAAACAAGGUCUACAACUUUAAAAAAAUGUAAACUAGUGAAUAAUAAUUUAGUAAAAACCAAUAUUAUAAUUGUUACCUUACAUAAAUAUAUCGGCUAGCUUGCAGAAUGUAUAUGUUUUUUUCUUCAUAUCUUCAUGAAUCAUGCAUUAAUCUAUAAAGAAUUCUCUAAAUCAAUUUCACAAAAAUUUAAAGACGCCUAAGAAAUUACAAGUUGUAUGAUUUUAAUAUAUACUGCAAUCAUUUACCUAAAAGAAAUUUUAUGAAAGAAAACAUCAUCUCUAAAGGCAUUUAGGACAAGGUUCUGUUACAAAUGGGAAAUUUUCAAAUGCAAUUAAAUCUGUUAUAAUAAAAUAUAGGGAUUUAGGAGAAGUUGGGUUUUGUCUUAGAAGACACAACUAGAUGAAAGUCAGGAAAGUCCCAGGUUGAUAAACUGACCCGUUGAGUGACCCAAUUUGACCCGUUUUAGAGAUAGGUCAGUUUGGGUUACAACCCAAAUUGACCCGAUAAGAAAAAAUCAUUGAACCAACCCGUUAAAGUUUGGACGGGUUGGGCGGGUUACACAAUUAUGGGUUAAAUUUGACACCUCUAGCCUAAACUCAUACCAGUUGAACCAAAGGAGACUUUGAGAACAUAAAAUUACCAACUGACUUUAUACAUCUACCACAAACAUGGGAACGCUAUUAUAAGCUUGAUUCCAAUAAAUCCAAAACUAAAGGUUUAGCUCAAUUGAAGCCAAUCAAUAUACGAAUGGACACGCUUAGCUUCCUUUAGAUUUUAAAUCUGUUCAAGCCUUAAACAAACUCAUGACUUGAUACUGACGUUUUUAUUAUUUUAUCAAUACGUGAGGACAUAUAUGAUAAGUGGCUAUUCCUUGGAUAAACAUUAAUUAUAAUAUAUUUUUAUGAACCCCACAAACAAUUCUUUUAAUAUCCUAGAUAUUUGUUUUUUUUGUUGGAUCAAUCACAAAUGAAGACACUUUUACUAAACAAUAUUUUCACAAUAAUCACUUCGUUACUUACAAUCAUUCAAGCUGUUAGUAAUCAAAUUAAUACAAUCAUAGGCAUCAGGACUGUCCGUUCUUGGUCAGCAAGUGCUGGGGACAAAGAAGAAUUAACACAAACUUGUACUGUUCUUGAAACAUCUACUGACUUCUAGUAUCAGUACAAAUUCCUUGCACACUACUUCUUUAGAAAUAAGCACUGUAGAUUGAGAACCAAGCAUGUCCACACGCCAGGCAAAAAAUAUAUUAGCAUAUAUUAGGUUACCAGAUUAAGCAGUU
rnacentral:lncRNA from 1 species